GGCUCAGGACGAACGCUGGCGGCGUGCUUAACACAUGCAAGUCGAACGAUGACGACCGUGCUUGCACGGUCUGAUUAGUGGCGAACGGGUGAGUAACACGUGAGUAACCUGCCCUUCACUUCGGGAUAACCUCGAGAAAUCGAGGCUAAUACCGGAUAUGAGCUCGCACCGCAUGGUGUGGGUUGGAAAGUUUUUCGGUGAGGGAUGGACUCGCGGCCUAUCAGUUUGUUGGUGAGGUAAUGGCUCACCAAGGCGAUGACGGGUAGCCGGCCUGAGAGGGCGACCGGCCACACUGGGACUGAGACACGGCCCAGACUCCUACGGGAGGCAGCAGUGGGGAAUAUUGCACAAUGGGCGAAAGCCUGAUGCAGCGACGCCGCGUGGGGGAUGACGGCCUUCGGG
rnacentral:rRNA from 1 species